rnacentral:tRNA from 1 species
GCCCGGGUGGCGGAAUUGGCAGACGCGCUAGGUUCAGGUCCUAGUUCCAGCAAUGGAGUGUGGGUUCGACCCCCAUCUCGGGUA